CUCCCACCUACACACAGGUUCCCAAAGAGAUUCGGAGCAGUGGGAUCUCUCAGGACACAAAUCCAGAAGGGUGCCAGAGUGGGGGAUGGAGAGAUUCCUAAAAGUCAGCACUGAAGAAGCAGAUGGCAUCCCCAGGGUGGAGGUUCAGAGAGAUGGAAAGAACCAAUCACAUGCACGGGAAUUUGACAAAGUCUGUGUGCACCCCAUCAGCCAGCACCCCUCCCCAUCUUCUGUCCCCAUCAGCUCCAGAGUAAGCAAUGGGGGAGUGGCAGUGUCCUUCCUGCUGCUCAGGGAAUGGGGGACUGGAUAUUCCCUAGCCCUAGGUUGUGUGGCUUCAUCAGACCUGAGUUGGCUGUGUCCCAGGGAGCAGUGGACUAAAGGGUCAUUCUGAGGUUAAAGGUGUAAAUACAGAGAUGUGCCAGGAUCUGGGAGAAACGCUAUCAGGAAUCUCCAGAUGGCCCUGCGCCCCUUUUCUGGGGGUAACAGGAAGGUAGAGAAGUUGCAGGUUAGAAGCCUCCCGGUACUCCACAGCCCUUGCCUUACUCUCUAGAGGUUGGGAAAGAGACUAAGUCCUGAGCCCACUCUAGCCCCCACCCCCACCCCCCAACCCCGCCUUCAUGCAGGGCGCCACCGCGGCGCGGGAGGGAGCUUACCUCCAGAGUGGGCUCCCUCGCCCCAGCCCCCGCAGCCUCUGCAGUGACCCUCUGACUUGUAUGGGGAUGGCACAGCUUCAGGAGCAGCCCCAGAGCCAUCCACCAUAAACCCUGGUCGCGGGAGCUCUACCUUGGACCGAAAGGCACAGAGCUCUCUCUCGGAAGGACCGCAGGGUCCCCCCAGCGGGUGGCCGCUCAGACUCUCGCGGCUGCCUCCUCGACUCCUGCCGGCCAGCACUCUCGGGAGGAAAGUUGUUCAGCUGGCCAGGCAGGUCUGCCUCAGCAGUAACAGGACACAGGAUGACGGGCGGGCGGGCGUGUUUAACCCCUUCCUGCUGUCUGCCGGGCGGUGCCUUCAGGGGAGGAGGCUGGCCUGUUUGUCAGCCGGUGACCCCAGAGGUUUACAGAGCUGGAGUUCAUCCACUCCUACCCUUCAAGAGGAAGCUUGGGUCCAAGAAUCAGCUGCAAAAACGUAAAGACUCUUCAACAUUCUUUGUAGAGCUGAGCUCAUCAGCCAGGACCAUCACAUCUGUCACCAGGUUGUCCAGCAACGCAUAGACCUGGAAGAGAGGGAUAGACAUCAGAGGCCAAGGUUUGCUCGGUUUUGCAGGCUCCAAUGUAUCAGUCUUGCUAAGAGAGACGAGAUGGAGAGAGAAACGCCAAAGUUGCUCCGAGACCUGCUGCACGUAAUUGUUUUCAGAUCUGGAGUGGGCCUGGGCUCAGUCCCAGUUCUGUAUUGGUUUUCCGGAAGCCAACUCUCCUUCCUGUAAGAUCAUAGAUCAACAUACUGAAGCUUCCAAGACUGAGCCCUCUACUGCAGCUAGACCACACAGCCUAAGAAAAUCGACUCUUAGUAUCAUAGACUGAAAGAGGGGUUUACACUCCAGAGACCCCAGGGACCUAUGAUUCCUUUCUGGGCCCCGUCAGCCAUCAGAAAGCUCACUGAUGUCACCGGCAGCAUCAAACAGAACUUCUGGUCAAAUGAGACCUGAGGGUAUGGCAGUCCCACAAUAUACAGUAAUGUAAGCCUAGAUCCACAAAUGCCUUAUCAGUGAAAGAUGAAGCAUCCCUGUUAGAUAUGCUGACAUACUGAACAUGCUUUUGUUAGACCUCCCCGACACCUCAAAAAACAAACAACAAAACAAAAAGCAAAAAACACCCAUAGUAACAAAAAGACCAAGAUGACCCACGGGAGUCUGUCUCUAAGGACCCAUUGCUUAGGACCAGAUCAUGACUAUGCUUCCUCAGCAGAUUCACGCUUGUUAGCCUUUGGGAGCAUCCAGAGCUCAUGUUAAACUCUGCUCCCAGUGUGAGUGUUGGCAAGUCUGGAAACCUUAAAGAGGUGUUUGAAUCAUGAGGGCCCCACCCUCACAGAUCACUUGAAUGUCUUCAUAUCCAUGAGUCCUAGCGGUUGUCAGAAAUCAUGACUCUCCCUUCCUCGCACCUUCUACACAUGCCCAGUUGCCCCUUCAGCAUCUUUCUACCAUGAGUUGAAGCAACACGAGGCUCUCCCUUGAGCCCCCACUCCCGGGCUUUCUGGCUAACAGAACUGUGACCCAAAAUAAACUUUUCUUACAAAUCGCCUGGUCUGUUGCAUUUUGUUAUAGCAACAGAAAGAGGACUGAGCCAAUCCUACUUGGGAUUCUCCCAAGAAAUCUGUCUGCCAGUGUGUGCCUGAGGGCAGGUAUAAGCAGCUUUAGAAAGGGAAGGACUUCACCCCGUUCUCUUCCCAGGAGUCUGUUUUCCAAAAGUCAGCUAGAGCUACCCUCAAAAGCCUAAGUUCAGACUGUAUUGCUCUCAAUGCAGAAUUCUGCAUGACUUCUGCCAUGCAGAGAAAACCCCAUGGGCCAGCAAAGUCUCUUGCCCACUCCCUCGCAUGCCCUGUCUACUGCUUCUCUUCCUUGCCACUCUGUUGGCCCACUCCCUCUGCUGCCUCUGCUGCUUCUUCUGUUUAAGAAAUCCUUCUUUGGCCAACCUUCAUCUCUCUCUUCCUCUCUUCCUCUCUCUUCCUCUCUCUCUCUCUCUCUCUCUCUCUCUCUCUCUCUCUCUCUCUUUCCUCUCUCUCUUCUCUCUCUCUCAAGCAGGUUCUCUUUGGGCAGAAUAUAGAGGAAUGAUCAAUGCAGGCAUGUGAGCAGGAAGGUAUGGCUGCCCCCUCUUUCUUUCACCUCAGCGUGCAACCGCUGGGUAUAUUUCUCCAUGACCAGGGGGUCUAUGGGCUCCUGGGAGGGUGCCGUGCUGUCAGGGGGAGGAUCUUCUGAGAGCAGCCUGUCCCGGCUUGCAGACUUUACCACUUUCUUGUCAUCUUUUGGCUUCAGUUUUUUGCUAUUCGGGCGGUCCUGCUUAGAGAAACGGAGACACACAUGACCUCAAUGGCUCCUAAGGGAGGUCUGAUGCUCUCUCCCCAGCAGUUCUCCUGGAGAGCUGUGUGUUUUGCUGGAUCAACCACCCCCUUCCCAUGACUCCCCCCCAUCCCAGCCCCAUCCAGGGUGCAGGCCACACCCCUACAUAACCUCUUUCCCUGGUGUCUUGGAACCCCUUUUAUCAUCUUUGUCUUUGGUACCCAGUUGUUUCUUCUCCUGUGCGCCCCCUCUCCGAUCCUCCUUCCCAGCUUUCCCACUUGUCACCUUCGACUCUGUGACUGGAGGGGAUUUUUGACCUAAGAGGGGGAAAGUGGAAGACUUGCUUAAGGCCUAUACUACAGACCUAUGCACAGGUAAAGCUGGGGGUAAUGAAAACUUGUUCUCAGACGCUUUAAGAGAAUCCCUGCAAAAGGUUCUCUGAGAUCAGAAAGAGCUAAGAGGAAGAGGAGAACUUUCUCGAGUUCUGGACUUUAUGGAAUAAAAAGUGAGAUAAAGGUCCGAGUCCCAACUCCACUAUAUUUAAAGUCUCUGGAACUCAACAUGCUAAACAAGGGGACUGCACCAAGGUCCGAACCGAGUCUCAAAUCUCGGCCACACAGGAUGGAUGAUCCCCACCACCUUGAGCUUAGUCAAGAACCUAUCAUAAGCAGACAAACAGCCAAAGUACUACUGCCAUCAGGGCGGAGGCUGGAAAAGGCUACCCAGAGGUAAGACCUCACAAUGUCUGACCUUGUUCAUCUGGAAGAUCCAAAUAAACCGUCUCCUUCUCAGGCAGGCCCAGAAGAUUUCUUAGCCACAGGGACUGGCUUACCAGGCUGUCAAUCACGUCUCGCCACAGCUGCAGACUAGAGGAAAAGACACACUGGAGAAAACUCAUCACUCUUCCUUUGUCCUUGAACCUUUGGAGGCUCGGAUGCCUCCCUUUAAAGACUCUAGUGCCGGGAACUACCAUUCCCAUGCCAUGUCAUGUCGCCAGCAGUCAGCCCUCCCUGACGCUAUUUAAGCGUUCACGUUGGAAUCUGGUUUCCCUGUGGUGAAGAGACUGUGGUAAAGAGUCUGGGAUGAACUCAGUCUUGCUUCAGAGUCUAAAUUCCAGCUUGGAGUGAUGGUUAGACUUGGGUCCAGCUCCAUGGGAAGGGCUGAACCUUGCCCGUGAUUCUUGGCCUGUGACUGCUGAGAGUGUGCAAGUCCCAAGCAGGCAAUGGGUAGGUGACAACAGAGAAGUGAAGCUUUUUGCGAGGCUCCCUGACUCCUCAAGUGUCCUGCUUUCUCCCUACCCCCUACCCCCAUUCUUCCACUCAUGGAGAAGGAACAACAGGGGAAGAGGGCAAAAAAAAAAAAA